rnacentral:rRNA from 1 species
CGUCUAGGCGGAUCGGCAAGUCGGCUGUGAAAGUCCUCGGCUCAACCGAGGAAGUGCAUCCGAGACUGUCGGUCUUGAGGACGAGAGGGGAGAGUGGAACUCCUGGUGGAGCGGUGAAAUGCGUAGAUAUCAGGAGGAACGCCGGUGGCGAAAGCGACUCUCUGGCUCGUUCCUAACGCUGAAGCGCGAAAGCUAGGGGAGCGAACG